rnacentral:rRNA from 1 species
UACAGAGGGUGCGAGCGUUAAUCGGAAUUACUGGGCGUAAAGCGCACGUAGUCGGCUUUGCAAGUCGGUUGUGAAAUCCCCGGGCUCAACCUGGGAACUGCAUCCGAGACUGCAUUGCUAGAGUAUGGGAGAGGAAAGCGGAAUUUCUGGUGUAGCAGUGAAAUGCGUAGAUAUCAGAAGGAACAUCAGUGGCGAAGGCGGCACUCUGGGCCGAUACUGACACUGAGGAGCGAAAGCGUGGGGAGCGAACAGG